GAUGGGAUGGAGUCUCCUAUUCAGCUGACCUUACAAUAGGGAAACUAUCCUGAAUUAUCCUAGUGGGCCCAAUGUAAUCAUAAACAUCCUUAAAGGCUCCAGGGAUUAGGACAUGGGCAUCUUUUGAAGGCCAUUAUUCUGCCUACCACACAAUACCAUCCCAAUACCAUUGUAAGAGUCUGUUUCCUGAGGCCAUUUCUAAAGUGCUGCCGAUUGGCCAAACCUGCACAAGGCAGAAGGCAAAGGAGCAGAGUUGAUGUAGCCAAAGAAAGUCAGCAUCCUAGGGCAUGAAGCAGGUGGGGAAGGGCGCCAUGUUGUGAGGAAACCCAGAUCACAUUAAGAGGCCACAAGUAAGUGUUCCAACCGACAGACCCUGCUAAGGUCUCAGCUGACAGCUAGCAUCAACUGCCAGACAACACACAGGACACGGUGGGGAUGCAGCAACUUGGACCUCAUCUGCCUGUGCUCUAAUUCAAAGACAAAUAUGUUUCCCAACUUGCCCAAGGCUCUGGCAGGGAAAACCAGAUCCCCAAACUCAGGUCGUUCUAGUGCAGCAAUAACCAGCUGGGUUUUCAGCAACUUGGAUGGAGCCAUCUGUUUUCCCAGCCCACAUAAAAAUAUGCACAAGAAGGGUGCAAAUCAGCAAGUCCACAGCUUCCAGAGGCCCCAGCUGGGAUGCGCCCUCCCUUUGCGGACUAAUGAAAGCCACAUCCUUCUUGCUGUGUCACAGUUGCUGAAAUUUCUGGAUGUCAAUAUUUGCUUUCUAUCUCCACUAAGAGGAAUGCACAUAGUAACUUAAUUGAUUGAUCCAUCAACUUCCAAAGGUAUAUUGAGCCUGAGCCCUAUAGGAACAACAAGGUCUGCUGUUUUCAUAGAGCUUAUAGUUGAUUGGAGAGACAGGGCCAGUGUGUGAAAUGACAAUACUAUUAGCACGUAUAAGCUGGCAGCGGAACAAUACUCUAAGCAGGUAUCAGUAAGGGCCAGAUGACUUGAGCGUCUGGGGAUUCAUCAGUUAUACCCACAGUGGUGGGGCUGUCAAGUGUCCUGGGAGAAAAGAGCUCUACACUGGAAUGCUAACUUCAAUAUCUGGGUGAAGCAAAGGCCAGAAAACAAAAAGGGGAGGAAGCCAGCAACCUUGAGAGGCUCUGCUGACCAUUUAAUAGUAUCUGGAUUUACCUUCCCUCUGCCUCAUUUUGAGUCUUACUCUGGUGAUGGGCUCUUACACUCCUUGCUUCAAGGGAAAAUGUUCCAUGUUCUCAUCUUCUAUUUACCCAACUCUUGAAAACAACAUAAAAGAGAAUACA